rnacentral:rRNA from 1 species
CCUACGGGAGGCAGCAGUGGGGAAUAUUGCACAAUGGGCGAAAGCCUGAUGCAGCGACGCCGCGUGAGGGAUGACGGCCUUCGGGUUGUAAACCUCUUUCAGCAGGGAAGAAGCGAGAGUGACGGUACCUGCAGAAGAAGCGCCGGCUAACUACGUGCCAGCAGCCGCGGUAAUACGUAGGGCGCAAGCGUUGUCCGGAAUUAUUGGGCGUAAAGAGCUCGUAGGCGGCUUGUCACGUCGGGUGUGAAAGCCCGGGGCUUAACCCCGGGUCUGCAUUCGAUACGGGCUAGCUAGAGUGUGGUAGGGGAGAUCGGAAUUCCUGGUGUAGCGGUGAAAUGCGCAGAUAUCAGGAGGAACACCGGUGGCGAAGGCGGAUCUCUGGGCCAUUACUGACGCUGAGGAGCGAAAGCGUGGGGAGCGAACAGGAUUAGAUACCCUGGUAGUCCACGCCGUAAACGGUGGGAACUAGGUGUUGGCGACAUUCCACGUCGUCGGUGCCGCAGCUAACGCAUUAAGUUCCCCGCCUGGGGAGUACGGCCGCAAGGCUAAAACUCAAAGGAAUUGACG